CCUACGGGAGGCUGCAGUGGGGAAUAUUGGACAAUGGGGGGAACCCUGAUCCAGCCAUGCCGCGUGUGUGAAGAAGGCCCUCGGGUUGUAAAGCACUUUCAGUGAGGAAGAACGCCUGGUGGUUAAUACCCAUCAGGAAAGACAUCACUCACAGAAGAAGCACCGGCUAACUCCGUGCCAGCAGCCGCGGUAAUACGGAGGGUGCGAGCGUUAAACGGAAUUACUGGGCGUAAAGCGCGCGUAGGUGGCUUGAUAAGCCGGUUGUGAAAGCCCCGGGCUCAACCUGGGAACGGCAUCCGGAACUGUCAAGCUAGAGUGCAGGAGAGGAAGGUAGAAUUCCCGGUGUAGCGGUGAAAUGCGUAGAGAUCGGGAGGAAUACCAGUGGCGAAGGCGGCCUUCUAGACUGACACUGACACUGAGGUGCGAAAGCGUGGGUAGCAAACAGGAUUAGAUACCCUAGUAGUC
rnacentral:rRNA from 1 species